rnacentral:rRNA from 1 species
ACCCGCCGAACUUAAGCAUAUCAGUAAGCGGAGGAAAAGAAACUAACUAGGAUUCCCCGAGUAACGGCGAGCGAAAGGGGAGAAGCCCAGCGCCGAAGCCCGCGGCCCCCGGUCGCAGUGCAAUGUGGCGUUACGGUGGCGGCUCGCCGCGACUUCUCUGGCGCGCGUACCUCUGAACGGGUCUGCCCGCAGCGGGUGUCAGGCCUCUACUUUGCCGAGAGUCGUCGCGGCCCGCAGUCACCGCGGAGUCGGGUUGCUUGAUAGUGCAGCCCAAAGCGGGUGGUAAGCUCCAUCUAAGGCUAAAUACCUAGUGCGAGACCGAUAGCAAACAAGUACCGUGAGGGAAAGUUGCAAAGAACUUUGAAAAGAGAGUUCAAGAGUACGUGAAACCGUUCAGAGGCAAACGGACGGAACCGGGCGAGUUCGCCGUCCGCCAUUCAGCCGUCGCGCUCGCGCGCGGCGGUGCACUUGGCGGCGGCGGAGCGCGACGACCGUCUGCUCGGCUGUCAGAAGGCCGGCGGCAAGGUGGCUGCGCGCUCGCGCGCAGUGUUACAGGCCGCCGAGCGUACGACCGGCCGGGCGGGCGAGGAGCGCCUGCGGUGCGCUCCCCCUUCGCGGGGGGAGUGGCCCGACGCGGUGGGCUUGCGGACGCCGGACGCGAACUGCUCGCAGUUCGCGGUCGCGCGCGCCGCCUGUCGUGCCGCGCGGUGCCACGGGCACCCGGGGUCCGGGUCGUGUGGUUCCUGGCACUCCGUCCGACCCGUCUUGAAACACGGACCAAGGAGUUGAGCACGCGCGCGAGUCGAUGGGCUCGCAGAACCCCAGUGGCGCAGCUAAGGCAAAACGGGCGUGAUCCGGCACUCGCGUGCCGGCGCAACGCCGGCCCGCGGCCGACUCGACGCGAGUGGCCGCGGAGCAAGAGCGCGCGUGCUCAGACCCGAAAGGUGGUGAACUAUGCUUGAGCAGGGCGAAGCCAGAGGAAACUCUGGUGGAGGCUCGCAGCGAUCCUGACGUGCAAAUCGGUCGUCAAACUUGAGCAUAGGGGCGAAAGACUAAUCGAACCGCCUAGUAGCUGGUUCCCUCCGAAGUUUCCCUCAGGAUAGCUGGCACUCGGGAAAAGUGGUUGUAUCCGGUAAAGCGAAUGAUUAGAGGCAUUGGGGACGAAACGUCCUCAACCUAUUCUCAAACUUUAAAUGGGUACGAGGCGCGGCCCUUCCUGAUCGGGGCCGCGUGCUUGAACAGCGAGUGCCCAGUGGGCCGUUUUUGGUAAGCAGAACUGGCGCUGUGGGAUGAACCAAACGCGCGGUUAGGGUGCCUAACGCGCACGCUCAUGAGACACCACAAAAGGUGUUGGUUGAUAUAGACAGCAGGACGGUGGCCAUGGAAGUCGGAAUCCGCUAAGGAGUGUGUAACAACUCACCUGCCGAAUCAACUAGCCCUGAAAAUGGAUGGCGCUGGAGCGUGCGACCCAUACCGCGCCGUCGGGGCAACGCGUGCGAAAUGCCAGGCCCCGACGAGUAGGAGGGCGUGUCGGUGGCGCUGAAGCGUUGUGCGCGAGCACGCGUGGAGCCGCCUUCAGUGCAGAUCUUGGUGGUAGUAGCAAGUAUACAAAUGAGAACUUUGUAGACCGAAGUGGAGAAGGGUUCCAUGUGAACAGCAGUUGGACAUGGGUCAGUCGGCCCUAAGAGAUCGGAGAACUCCGUUCUGAACGGGGGAGGACACGGUCACGCGAUGGGCGCGUGGCUUCGCACGCCGGCGCUCGACGAGGGCGGCGCGUCACCCGGCCCCGAAGCCGUCCGAACGUCUCUAGGUACAGAGCGGCGGGGCGACACGGUGGCGCGUUUGCCUGAUGUGCGCGCGCGGGCGGCCCCUCUCCAACCCUCGACCGGGGGGGGGAGGGUCGCCGCUCGGGCGGCCGGCGCGGCGAGCCCGCGUCCGUGACGGUGCGCGAGCCCCCGCACCGAUCGAAAGGGAAUCGGGUUAAUAUUCCCGAACCUGGCAGCGGAGAUCGGGCCCUCGGGCCCCAGUGCGGUAACGCAACCGAACUCGGAGACGCCAGCGUCGAUCCCGGGAAGAGUUCUCUUUUCUUUGUUAGGAGCGGACUCCCUGGAAUUGGCUUGUCCAGAGAUAGGGACGUUGCAUCCGUAAAGCGUCGCGCUUCACGCGGCGUCCGGUGCAUCGGCGUUGGCCCUUGAAAAUCCGAGGAAGGCAGUGUAAUUUUCGCUCCAGGCCGUACCCGAAUCCGCAGCAGGUCUCCAAGGUGAACAGCCUCUGGUCGAUAGAACAAUGUAGGUAAGGGAAGUCGGCAAAUCCGAUCCGUAACUUCGGGACAAGGAUUGGCUCUGAGGUGCGGGCUGUUUCGGGUCGCGGCAAGAGGCGGGCGGCGCGCCGUGCUGGACUGGACGGGCUCUCGCGGGCCCGUUCGGACCGCCGCCGGCGUGCGCCCGAGGGCGGCCGUGGCUUUCGCCGGCGCGGGCUUCGCGGCCCGCGUCGGCUUCGU